UACUGUUGAAACACAUCUGAUCUCAUCUGAAAGCUGAUUCCAGCUACAGGUUCAUACUGUUGUAUUCUUUUAUACUGUUAUAUUCGUACCGUUUUAAAUCAUUCAGUAAAUGCAAAGUUAAACCGAUGUGUUUUUAAUCUAGAUCUAAAAGUGUCUUCUGUUGAAACACAUCUGAUCUCUUCUGAAAGCUACAGGUUUAAAAGUGCCCACUGUUGAAAAACAUCUGAUCUCAUCUGAAAGCUGAUUCCAGCUACAGAUCUAAAAGUGUCUUCUGUUGAAACACAUCUGAUCUCUUCUGAAAGCUGAUUCCAGAUUUAAAAGUGCCUACUGUGGAAACACGUCUGAUCUCAUCUGAAAGCUGAUUCCAGCUACAGGUUCAUACUGUUGUAUUCUUUUAUACUGUUAUAUUCGUACCGUUUUAAAUCCUUCAGUAAAUGCAAAGUUAAACCGAUGUGUUUUUAAUCUAGAUUUAAAAGUGCCUACUGUUGAAACACAUCUGAUCUCAUCUGAAAGCUGAUUCCAGCUACAGAUCUAAAAGUGUCUUCUGUUGAAACACAUCUGAUCUCUUCUGAAAGCUACAGGUUUAAAAGUGCCCACUGUUGAAACACAUCUGAUCUCAUCUGAAAGCUGAUUCCAGCUACAGAUCUAAAAGUGUCUUCUGUUGAAACACAUCUGAUCUCUUCUGAAAGCUGAUUCCAGCUACAGGUUCAUACUGUUGUAUUCUUUUAUACUGUUUUAUUCGUACUGUUUUAAAUCAUUCAGUAAAUGCAAAGUUAAACCGAUCAUACUGUUGUAUUCUUUUAUACUGUUGUAUUCUUUUAUACUGUUUUAAAUCAUUCAGUAAAUGCAAAGUUAAACCGAUGUGUUUUUAAUCUAGAUCUAAAAGUGUCUUCUGUUGAAACACAUCUGAUCUCUUCUGAAAGCUGAUUCCAGCUACAGGUUCAUACUGUUGUAUUCUUUUAUACUGUUUUAUUUGUACUGUUUUAAAUCAUUCAGUAAAUGCAAAGUUAAACCGAUCAUACUGUUGUAUUCUUUUAUACUGUUUUAAAUCAUUCAGUAAAUGCAAAG